AUAGUGACCCAGCUGAGCCUCAUCAACGAGGUCUCAUAAGGGAAGAAGAGGAUAGUCUUGUGUCAUUGUUUCUGUUGAGCUCACUGCUGUGGGAAAUGCAAGUUUGAGAGUAACCAACUUCCCCACAAUCUUUUAAGAAGAGAAUUCAGAGGAAACCAGAUUUUAGACAACAAAGGUUGCAGGUGCCACAAUUGCUAAAGGAAUAAACGCCCAGAAAUUCAAGAUUGGAUGUAAACAAUGUCCAAACUCCAGAGAGUGAUGGGAGCAGUGUUGGAAACAUCAGAGCCAGGAACAGCAUCCCAGAAGGUCUCAUUAUACCUGCCAGACAGCCCAGAGAGAAGAGGGGAGUGCUGUGGUUGAGUCACACAUUGAGCUGUGGUCAAUCCACACUUCCAGAUCGCAGCAGCACAAACAUCUGAGCAGAGACAAAUUCCCAUCCAGAUGUCUCCUGCACCUGGGACACAAAGGAGCUCUCUCUUCCCCCGACCCUGCCCCAAAG